UACGAAGGGGGCUAGCGUUGCUCGGAAUCACUGGGCGUAAAGCGCACGUAGGCGGACUCUUAAGUCGGUGGUGAAAUCCUGGAGCUCAACUCCAGAACUGCCUUCGAUACUGAGAGUCUCGAGUCCGAGAGAGGUGAGUGGAACUGCGAGUGUAGAGGUGAAAUUCGUAGAUAUUCGCAAGAACACCAGAGGCGAAAGCGAGUCACUGGACAGAACCUGACGCUGAGGCACGAAAGCUAGGGUAGCAAACGGG
rnacentral:rRNA from 1 species